GCCAGCGUGGCAUAUUGGUUUGAGUGUUGGACUACAUAUCUGGAGAUCAGGGUUCAAAUCCUUGCUCAGACA